ACCUUGAAAUACCACCCUUUAAUGUUUGAUGUUCUAACGUUGGCCCCUUACCGGGGUUGCGGACAGUGUCUGGUGGGUAGUUUGACUGGGGCGGUCUCCUCCCAAAGCGUAACGGAGGAGCACGAAGGUUAGCUAAUCCUGGUCGGACAUCAGGAGGUUAGUGCAAUGGCAUAAGCUAGCUUGACUGCGAGCGUGACGGCGCGAGCAGGUGCGAAAGCAGGUCAUAGUGAUCCGGUGGUUCUGAAUGGAAGGGCCAUCGCUCAACGGAUAAAAGGUACUCCGGGGAUAACAGGCUGAUACCGCCCAAGAGUUCAUAUCGACGGCGGUGUUUGGCACCUCGAUGUCGGCUCAUCACAUCCUGGGGCUGAAGUAGGUCCCAAGGGUAUGGCUGUUCGCCAUUUAAAGUGGUACGCGAGCUGGGUUUAGAACGUCGUGAGACAGUUCGGUCCCUAUCUGCCGUGGGCGCUGGAGAAUUGAGGGGGGCUGCUCCUAGUACGAGAGGACCGGAGUGGACGCAUCACUGGUGUUCGGGUUGUCAUGCCAAUGGCACUGCCCGGUAGCUAAAUGCGGAAGAGAUAAGUGCUGAAAGCAUCUAAGCACGAAACUUGCCCCGAGAUGAGUUCUCCCUGAGACUU
rnacentral:rRNA from 1 species